CCCUUAGAUGUUCUGGGCCGCACGCGCGCUACAAUGAUGAAUUCAACGAGUUUAUAACCUUGGUUGAAAAGCCUGGGUAAUCUUUUGAACUUUCGUCGUGAUGGGGCUAGACCCUUGCAAUUAUUGGUCUCCAACGAGGAAUUCCUAGUAAACGCAAGUCAUCAGCUUGCAUUGAUUACGUCCCUGCCCUUUGUACACACCGCCCGUCGCACCUACCGAUUGAAUGGUCCGGUGAAAUCUUCGGAUUGAGACUUUGAUUUGUUUACUCAAAACGCUGUUUCAAGAAGUUGAUUAAACCUUACCAUUUAGAGGAAGGUGAAGUCGUANCA
rnacentral:rRNA from 1 species